rnacentral:rRNA from 1 species
UAGGGAAUCUUCCACAAUGGGCGCAAGCCUGAUGGAGCAACACCGCGUGAGUGAAGAAGGGUUUCGGCUCGUAAAGCUCUGUUGUUAAAGAAGAACACGUAUGAGAGUAACUGUUCAUACGUUGACGGUAUUUAACCAGAAAGCCACGGCUAACUACGUGCCGG